UACGGAGGGUGCAAGCGUUGUCCGGAUUUAUUGGGUUUAAAGGGUGCGUAGGCGGCCCAUUAAGUCAGCGGUGAAAGCCCGGGGCUCAACCCCGGAACCGCCGUUGAUACUGGUGGGCUUGAGUACAGACGAGGCAGGCGGAAUUGAGGGUGUAGCGGUGAAAUGCUUAGAUACCCUCAAGAACACCGAUUGCGUAGGCAGCUUGCUAGGCUGUGACUGACGCUGAGGCACGAAAGCGUGGGGAGCGAACAGG
rnacentral:rRNA from 1 species